rnacentral:rRNA from 1 species
UACGAAGGGUCCUAGCGUUGCUCGGAAUCAUUGGGCGUAAAGCGGGUGUAGGCGGCCAACUAAGUCAGAAGUGAAAGCCCCGGGCUCAACCCGGGAAGUGCUUUUGAAACUGGUUGGCUUGAGUGUGGGAGAGGAUAGUAGAAUUCCUGGUGUAGUGGUGAAAUACGUAGAUAUCAGGAGGAAUACCGGUGGCGAAGGCGGCUAUCUGGCCCAACACUGACGCUCAGACCCGAAAGCGUGGGGAGCAAACAGG